rnacentral:rRNA from 1 species
UGGGGAAUAUUGCACAAUGGGCGCAAGCCUGAUGCAGCCAUGCCGCGUGUGUGAAGAAGGCCUUCGGGUUGUAAAGCACUUUCAGCGAGGAGGAAGGUGGUGGACUUAAUACGUUCAUCAAUUGACGUUACUCGCAGAAGAAGCACCGGCUAACUCCGUGCCAGCAGCCGCGGUAAUACGGAGGGUGCAAGUGUUAAUCGGAAUUACUGGGCGUAAAGCGCACGCAGGCGGUUUGUUAAGUCAGAUGUGAAAUCCCCGGGCUCAACCUGGGAACUGCAUUUGAAACUGGCAAGCUAGAGUCUCGUAGAGGGGGGUAGAAUUCCAGGUGUAGCGGUGAAAUGCGUAGAGAUCUGGAGGAAUACCGGUGGCGAAGGCGGCCCCCUGGACGAAGACUGACGCUCAGGUGCGAAAGCGUGGGGAGCAAACAGGAUUAGAUACCCUGGUAGUCCACGCUGUAAACGAUGUCGAUUUUGGAGGUUGUGCCCUUGAGGCGUGGCUUCCGAAGCUAACGCGUUAAAUCGACCGCCUGGGGAGUACGGCCGCAAGGUUAAAACUCAAAGGAAUUGACGGGGUC